AAGUAUGGGGAUCCCGAGAAGUUGAAAGCGGCAAAAUCGUUCUUUGAGCGGAGAUCGAUGAUCCUCGAUGCUGUGGCUACGAGAACUACUGGUGUCUACGCUGCUGCGGAAGCUGCCAAGGCUGCUACUGCUGCUGCCAGAUCGAAAAGGUUGGGAUCUUCACCGUCUACUCGAGUUUAAGAACUAAAGAAUGGAUGAGAGGAUGAUAGGCGUUUACUCAAAGUCAAGAAUGGGAAUUGGUUGAAGCAAAUUAGAACAUCGAAAUACUCAGAAACUACCGGUGUUCCGCUGGAAAGUAUCCUCCGAGGACUCUCAUGUAUUGAGCUUUGCUGUCCACUGCAACUCGGACAUGCUGCGACGACAAACGAUUUGAAUCAAACGAAUAACACGAAGAGCUUCAUACGAA